rnacentral:rRNA from 1 species
UACGUAGGGUGCGAGCGUUAAUCGGAAUUACUGGGCGUAAAGCGUGCGCAGGCGGCGUGUCAAGUCAGAUGUGAAAGCCCCGGGCUCAACCCGGGAACGGCGUUUGAAACUGGCAGGCUAGAGUUUGGCAGAGGGGGGUGGAAUUCCACGUGUAGCAGUGAAAUGCGUAGAGAUGUGGAGGAACACCGAUGGCGAAGGCAGCCCCCUGGGCCAAAACUGACGCUCAGGCACGAAAGCGUGGGGAGCAAACAGG